rnacentral:rRNA from 1 species
GACGAACGCUGGCGGCGUGCCUAAUACAUGCAAGUAGAACGCUGAAGGAGGAGCUUGCUCCUCUGGAUGAGUUGCGAACGGGUGAGUAACGCGUAGGUAACCUGCCUGGUAGCGGGGGAUAACUCUUGGAAACGAUAGCUAAUACCGCAUAAUAGUAGAUGUUGCAUGACAUUUGCUUAAAAGGUGCAAUUUCAUCACUACCAGAUGGACCUGCGUUGUAUUAGCUAGUUGGUGGGGUAACGGCUCACCAAGGCGACGAUACAUAGCCGACCUGAGAGGGGGAUCGGCCCAACUGGGACUGAGACACGGGCCAGGCUCCUACGGGAGGCAGCAGUAGGGAAUCUUCGGCAAGGGACGGAAGGCUGACCGAGCAACGCCGCGUGAGGGAAGAAGGUUGUCGGAUCGGAAAGAUCCGUUGUAAGAGAAGAACGAGAGUGAGAGUGGAAAGUUCACACUGUGACGGUAUCUAACCAGAAAGGGACGGCUAACUACGUG